rnacentral:rRNA from 1 species
UACAGAGGUCUCAAGCGUUGUUCGGAUUCAUUGGGCGUAAAGGGUGCGUAGGCGGCGCGGUAAGUCGGGUGUGAAAUCUUGGAGCUUAACUCCGAAACUGCAUUCGAUACUGCCGUGCUUGAGGACUGGAGAGGAGACUGGAAUUCUUGGUGUAGCGGUGAAAUGCGUAGAUAUCAAGAGGAACACCUGCGGCGAAGGCGGGUUGCUGGGCCGACACUGACGCUGAAGCGCGAAAGCUAGGGGAGCGAACGGG